rnacentral:rRNA from 1 species
GACGAACGCUGGCGGCGUGCUUAACACAUGCAAGUCGAACGGAAAGGCCCUGCUUUUGUGGGGUGCUCGAGUGGCGAACGGGUGAGUAACACGUGAGUAACCUGCCCUUGACUUUGGGAUAACUUCAGGAAACUGGGGCUAAUACCGGAUAGGAGCUCCUGCUGCAUGGUGGGGGUUGGAAAGUUUCGGCGGUUGGGGAUGGACUCGCGGCUUAUCAGCUUGUUGGUGGGGUAGUGGCUUACCAAGGCUUUGACGGGUAGCCGGCCCGAGAGGGUGACCGGCCACAUUGGUACUGAGAGACGGCCGAGACUGCUACGGGGGGCAGCAGUGGGGAAUGUUGCACAAUGGGCGGAAGCCUGAUGCAGCAACGCCGCGUGCGGGAUGACGGCCUUCGGGUUGUAAACCGCUUUCGCAUGUGACGAAGCGUGAGUGACGGUAAUGGGUAAAGAAACACCGGCUAACUACGUG